rnacentral:rRNA from 1 species
UACGUAGGGGGCAAGCGUUGUCCGGAAUUAUUGGGCGUAAAGCGCGCGCAGGCGGUUAUGUAAGUCUGGUGUUUAAACCCAAGGCUCAACCUUGGGUCGCAUUGGAAACUGCAUGGCUUGAGUACAGAAGAGGAGAGUGGAAUUCCGCGUGUAGCGGUGAAAUGCGUAGAUAUGUGGAGGAACACCAGUGGCGAAGGCGACUCUCUGGGCUGUAACUGACGCUGAGGCGCGAAAGCGUGGGGAGCAAACAGG